GCGGUAGUAGUAUAGUGGUCAGUAUACGAGACUGUGGAUCUUGUGACCCGAGUUCGAUUCUCGGUUACCGCC
rnacentral:tRNA from 1 species